rnacentral:rRNA from 1 species
GAAAGAAUAUCGGAGACGGAUGGGCAUGCGGCGCAUUAGCUAGUUGGCGGGGUAACGGCCCACCAAGGCGACGAUGCGUAGGGGUUCUGAGAGGAAGGUCCCCCACACUGGUACUGAGACACGGACCAGACUCCUACGGGAGGCAGCAGUGAGGAAUAUUGGUCAAUGGGCGAGAGCCUGAACCAGCCAAGUCGCGUGAGGGAGUACUGCCCUAUGGGUUGUAAACCUCUUUUGUCGGGGAGCAAAAGCCGGACGUGUCCGGCUGUGAGAGUACCCGAAGAAAAAGCAUCGGCUAACUCCGUGCCAGCAGCCGCGGUAAUACGGAGGAUGCGAGCGUUAUCCGGAUUUAUUGGGUUUAAAGGGUGCGCAGGCGGAUUUUUAAGUCAGCGGUCAAAUCGUGGGGCUCAACCCCAUCCAGCCGUUGAAACUGGGGAUCUAGAGUGUGCGAGAGGUAUGCGGAAUGCGUGGUGUAGCGGUGAAACGCAUAGAUAUCACGCAGAACCCCGAUUGCGAAGGCAGCAUACCGGUGCACAACUGACGCUCAGGCACGAAAGCGUGGGUAUCGAACAGGAUUAGAUACCCUGGUAGUCCACGCAGUAAACGAUGAAUGCUACCUGUUUGGCCAGAUUGAAGGCUGA